CAAGCGUCUGGGGUAUAAGGAGUCGCUGCGCUGCCAUCAGCCCCACUGAUGAGUCUAGGCAGUGAUUCCGAGACGAAACGCAAA
rnacentral:hammerhead_ribozyme from 17 species